UCUAUGGAGAGUUUGAUCCUGGCUCAGGACGAACGCUGGCGGCGUGCCUAAUACAUGCAAGUCGAGCGGACCGAAUAGGAGCUUGCUUCUGUUCGGUUAGCGGCGGACGGGUGAGUAACACGUGGGCAACCUGCCCGUAAGACCGGGAUAACUUCGGGAAACCGGAGCUAAUACCGGAUAACACCGAAGACCGCAUGGUCUUUGGUUGAAAGGCGGCGCAAGCUGUCACUUACGGAUGGGCCCGCGGCGCAUUAGCUAGUUGGUGAGGUAACGGCUCACCAAGGCGACGAUGCGUAGCCGACCUGAGAGGGUGAUCGGCCACACUGGGACUGAGACACGGCCCAGACUCCUA
rnacentral:ncRNA from 1 species